rnacentral:rRNA from 1 species
UACGUAGGGUGCGAGCGUUGUCCGGAAUUUAUUGGGCGUAAAGAGCUUGUAGGCGGUUUGUCGCGUCUGCUGUGAAAAUCCGGGGCUCAACCCCGGACUUGCAGUGGGUACGGGCAGACUAGAGUGUGGUAGGGGAGACUGGAAUUCCUGGUGUAGCGGUGAAAUGCGCAGAUAUCAGGAGGAACACCGAUGGCGAAGGCAGGUCUCUGGGCCACUACUGACGCUGAGAAGCGAAAGCAUGGGGAGCGAAACAGG